AUUGAACGCUGGCGGCAGGCCUAACACAUGCAAGUCGAACGGUAACAGGAAGAAGCUUGCUUCUUUGCUGACGAGUGGCGGACGGGGGAGUAAUGUCUGUGAAACUGCCUGAUGUAGGGGGAUAACUACUGGAAACGGUAGCUAAUACCGCAUAACGUCGCAAGACCAAAGAGGGGGACCUUCUGGCCUCUUGCCAUCGGAUGUGCCCAGAUGGGAUUAGCUAGUAGGUGGGGUAACGGCUCACCUAGGCGACGAUCCCUAGCUGGUCUGAGAGGAUGACCAGCCACACUGGAACUGAGACACGGUCCAGACUCCUACGGGAGGCAGCAGUGGGGAAUAUUGCACAAUGGGCGCAAGCCUGAUGCAGCCAUGCCGCGUGUAUGAAGAAGGCCUUCGGGUUGUAAAGUACUUUCAGCGGGGAGGAAGGGAGUAAAGUUAAUACCUCUGCGCAUUGACGUUACCCGCAGAAGAAGCACCGGCUAACUCCGUG
rnacentral:rRNA from 1 species